rfam:Helobdella robusta unplaced genomic scaffold HELROscaffold_93, whole genome shotgun sequence.
GUCUACGGCCAUAUCACGUUGAAAACACCGGUUCUCGUCCGAUCACCAAAGUUAAUCAACGUCGAGCCCGGUUAGUACUUGGAUGGGUGACCGCCUGGGAAUACCGGGUUCUGUAGGCU